UUUUGGAUGGUUUAUUGUUUACUGACCAUUUCUCCUCAACUUUCCUCCUCUUUCAAAGGUGACGGGAUUGGUGCUGUUCUCUUUCUGGAGAGAAAGACAUCCUUGGUCAUCUAAAGCAUUGCACUCUCUUCCUGAGAGAGGCAAUGGCCACAGCAGGGAACGACUCCUUCAUUGCCGAGGGAAUGACUCCGCCACAAAGGAUCCUCUUUCCCCCCGAGAAGAUUUGCAUGGUCUGGCAGCAAAGACAGAGUGCUGGAGCAGGACUCCUCAA